CGCACGGCUCACCAAACGCACGACUCCCUCCUCCAUCCCCAUUCUCUCUGCCUCCUCCAGCCUCCCCACCCACCGCCGGAAUUCCCCCACCGCCGCUCCUCCAGCUUCCCCACCCGCGGCCAGGACACACACGGCGCCAAGGACCCGUGGCGGCCUUGCUCGCCGGUUCUCCGUCAAGCUCGCUAAAUGCGUCGCGCGCUAGGCACCGGCCAGGACGCGAUGGCGCCUCUCCUGGCCCUUUCCCCCGGUCGAUUUCUCGUCGUGACCGGUUGACGAGCCCAUGGACGCGCCCUUCCCGUCGCAUCUGUGCGGAUGCGGCCGUCCAGCGGCGCCCUCGGUCAGGAUGAAGCCGUCGUGCUGCAGUUCGUCACCCAUCUCCAAGGUCCAGCCGAGCUGUCGUUUCCGCGCCUUGCCACGGGACGUCGACGUCCAGCAGGAGCGGGAGCGACACUGCCUCAGUCCAGUACGACCGCCAACAGGAAAGGGGGAGGGGAGAUGAAGAAGGAGAGGGUGGCACCGCUAUCAUGGCCGCCAAGGCAUGAUGAGCUCCGGCAUGGAAGGCCAUUUUUUCCCUUUGGCGUGCUGUUGGUGCUGUUUAGUUUUGCACUUUUGCUUUGUUUGUCACACUAUGCCUCUGAUGUAAUUAGAAAGAUGCGUGUCUGUUUGGUGUUUCGUAAUUAAUCCUAGUGGUGUGAUUCAUGGAAAUAGAUGCGUGAAGAAGAUAGCCAAAUGAGUAUUUGUAAUUAAUUCCAGUUCAUAGUUCAGCUACUAGGAAUGCAUGUCUUGUGAUAAUGUAGUACAUCUACUAGGACUUUAACUUGAUGCAACAAAUUUAACUUAAGAAUAUAUCAGAUGCAAACUAUCCGAAUUAUAAAUGAGAUAGAGUUUCCAUGUUAUGAUUCGGAUCAUGGUAUAUUAAUAUUGGAUUUUUUGUUAGUGAACUGCUGUUAUGUGCACCUAAUUAGUUCAAUAAAUUGAAGUGUUUAAUAGUACUAGUUUCCUGGCCGUUUUAUCUAAUUAGUUAGCUGAAACCUUAGGUUGGUGAAACAAGAUUAAAGUUUGUUUUUUUUGUAGGUGGACAAUGUUCCUGGCCUCAUCUUUGACUACCUCGACGACGACAGUUACAUUCCGACUCGGAUGCAAAUCUCUUGGCAGUUUUAAAUCACCAUGUUGGGAGAGAUCUCCAUGUGGUUGCUGUUGAGUUUUGAGAGCUUACCUGGUAGAGGAGUUGUAUCUACUUUUGAGCAGCAUAAAGACUUGGCAGCCUGCCUGGGAAUGAGCUGACUGCUACUGUCAUUAUCAUGCUACGUCCUAGAUGGAAGUUCAAGUCUCUGUAUGGUAGAGUUCCUUGUGCAAUACACUUCAUCGCCUUCUAUGGCAUUUUAGGUUGGAAUUUCUUGCCGGUGGCGAGAUGGAUAAGGGACGUCCGGAUCCGUUUUCUUUGUUGGUUGGAUGGCAUCCUAGCUAAUCGCAGUGGUGAAGAUGAAGUCAGGUGAGACAAGAUGACUUCCUCCACCCAGAACGUCUCCAGCGGCAAGAAUGGCUACGGCUCGUAGUAAGAUCCUUGGAUGGAGGUGACCAAGGAGACCUGUGACAAAGCAAAUGGCAUGGCGAUUCGGUCCGGGCAGUUCCGCCUUAAGCAGUGCUAUUGCCAUUGGGCUCGCUGGCUGCGUGGUGGUAGGAUCGGAUGGCCCUUGACCUCUGGACUCCGCCACUCGGUAGUGGCCACCGCCAUGUCGCUGAACUGGGCGUGGACCGGCUGUAGCUGCAUGAGGAAUGUGACAGCCUGGACAUGCGGGGCACCACCCCGGAGCCUGACAUGGAGGUUAUCAGGUCUGACCCCGAGCUCAGCUUGACU